rnacentral:pre_miRNA from 1 species
GGGGGUAGCCCGGAUCCUGGGCUGUAUCCCUGGCGCCCUGUGCUCCCGGGCCUGCACUGUUGGAUUCGCUCCCAGCCGUGCAGCCCCCU